AUGGUUUUUACCUGAAGAAGCACAUAUCCUAAGCAGGAUAUGGUUUUCACCUGAAGAAGCCCACAGGAAAGCGUGGGAUUACACAGCAACGCCGCAACGCCUCAAGAGGAAAACGACGCCCGCAGGUGACGUUGUUGCCUGCCAAAAGGCUAGACUUUCGUACGUAAUCAAACAACCCUCCCGUGCCCUCGUUGUCGAUCGGCCAUCCAAAAGGAGUCCAAAACUCCGGCGUGCCUCGAUCCAUCCACGUUGUUGGGUAGGAUGGGGAGAGGGUGAUAGGGAAGAAUGGAUGCCCUCUCUCCAUCACUAGCCCUCCGAACGUGGCCAUCUUGAGACGGCAAAGGCACCGUCCAAGAGAAUGAUCGUCUGCAUUUGGGCCCACCAAAGGCUUGCAACGCCCAUCUCACGGCGCCACCGUCGUCGCCCGCCGUGCGGCCGCCGUCGCCACUACCGCGCCUCCUCCACCGCGUUGUCUCGCGCAGCAUGCCGUCGCACACCGCCGCAGCCGCAAGCGCAGCCAACGGCCGGCGCCGCCGCGCGCCACCAUAUACCGACGACGACCCUUUACCGCGCCAUCCCCAUCCGCACCCACGGCGGGACGGCGGUUCAGAUCUGGCAGCCUGCAGCAGCGAGCCCCGUCGCCGCCGUCCCUACAGCCGGCCGGCUUGCCGGCGGCGCCACCACGUGACGCCAUCGCCCCCUUCCUCCACGGUUCGGCCGUCGUCGUGGACACGCCGUCGGCUGCCGCCGUCUUUCGCCGCCUAGCCCGGAGCACGUCGCCAGAUCUGCGCAAAGGAGCACCAGAUCUGGCCGUCGCACGUCGAGGAGCGCCAUAUCCGGUCGUCCGGCCGUUGUCGUCGACAAGCCGCUGGCUGCCACCGUCUUCCGCCGCCGCCCGGCCCGGCGCACUUCCACACCACCCCUGCUCUUCAGAGUGAUGGCUACCGGCGGGAGAAGCCUCGCCGCUGCCGUCCUUGCAGCCGCUCGGCUUGCUGGCAAGCCGCUCAGGCAGCGGCGAGGUGGGGGAGGCAGCUUGGCAGUGCGGCGGCCGGCGGACUUGGUCCUCGCCCGAGUCGCCCUGGGCUCGGCGACACGGGCAAGCGCUCCCCUUUCACAUUACAGAAGCAAAUUUUGGACAGAGAUUUGGUUUUGAUUUCAAGGGGAGGACAAGCGUUUGGUGGCUAUGAUGGAAGCCAUAGUUUGGAGAAGCUCACUUUCCCUAGACCACAAGCUAGCUCUCAUCUGGAAUUGGCACUAACCCUCACAUGUGAUGGAUACAUACCUCGUCAGUGACAAGUGGCCAUUGGUAAGAGACUAUAUAUGUGACAAACUUUAAGCUUGGGAAGCAUCAGGAAAUUAGUAUGUGCCAAAGUCCUCAAUGCAUCAAUCUAAGUCCCCGCAACUUGUGGAACUGAGGAGGUUCAAGCCAUAACAUUUAAGGAUGGACCGGGAAAUACAGCAAGGUGAGGCGACUGCCAUACUUACCAAAGCUGACAUGCACCUCUUUCCAUGGCUAGUUCCCAAGCUGGUCAUGCCAGAGGAUUCGAUCACAUAAAAAGACGAGACAUGGCAUCAUCGAUAUCUCGGGUCUGGGCAUCUUUAUGAAGAGGAAGAACACAUCUACAAUAUCAUUCCAUCCCCUUGAGGUUCUAAAGAACAUUCAAAUGACCAUGCAAUGUUUUACUUAUCUUAGCCGACUAUACAAGUGAGUGCAGCCCUUCUCUGCUUCUCAGAUAACAAUCUGGGAUUGAUGGUUAUGACUUACUCCUUUCAAAAUAAAGGCUUUUGGGAUUCAAAUUUUAUACCAUAAUACAGACAUUUAUGUGUUGAUACCCAUGAUUUAAACCAUUUCAAUAAUUUCACAGCCAAUCAGAUGCUUAGAAAGAUAAUCUAAUUAAUUCAAAAUAUAAAAAUUGAGCACUAAAGUGACUAAUAGAAUAUCUUUUGACAUUUUCUUACUUUAUGCUAAACAAACUAGAAAAUAUUUUAGUUCAGAGGUAAUACUUGUGAGGAAGGUCAGUGUUCUAUCCCUAUGCUGUUAUGCUUGCUUCAGGUAGUCUCUAAUUUCAGGCAGGGGUAGAGCUACCAUUGUUCGACCCGGGUCCAAGGACACCAAUGAUCCUAAACUAAAGUCCACUUGAUACCUAUGAUGUAGUUGAAUACGACUCGGUAAUUUUGUUGGUUUGAUCCCAGCCCAUUUGGCAAUGUGGUGUACCACUAAUUAAGUAUUACUAGUUAAAUACUCGUGCUUUGCUAUGGAUUUUAUGGUAUGUUAUCAA